ensembl:lncRNA
AAAAUCUUACCAAAAAUAAACUACUUGUUCUCAAUGAUACCACUGAAACCACCAAAACAAUGGUUUCAAAGAUUAGAUUCUACAACUACAAAAUUCUAUACUAGAAAUAAAAAACCUAAAAUAAGCCUUUCUACCCUUCAAAAAAACAAAGACGAGGGUGGUUUAGAAGCCCCUAAUUUCAUGCAUUAUUACUUAGCAAACCAAAUACUAUAUUUAACAGAAUGGCUAAAUCCAAAAGAAUACUACAACACCUGGCUAGAAAUAGAACAGUUAGACUGCAAACACAUUAAACUCUCUGAUCUCCCUUUUAUCACUGCGACCCUCAAACAUCACAACUGCUUUAAAAACCCACUAAUUGCCUCCACACUGACUGCAUGGUGGAAAGCCCUGGACAUCACAAAUGGCCAAUUAAAAACUAGUAUACUGUCUCCAAUCUGGCACAACCCCGACUUUAAAAAUAAAAAAACACCACUUUAUCUGAAGACAUGGGAAGAGAGUGGAAUCACUCAUCUCCAAGACCUUUUUGAAAAUGACAAGAUCAGGUCAUAUAACAAUCUAACCCAAGCAUUCGAUAUAAAUAAAAGUAACUUUCUACAGUACUUACAAGUAACAGAGACAAUAAAGAAAACCACUCCACUAGACUUAACUACGUUACAACCUCCAGAACUGGCUAUAUAUAUGAAAAAAAUCUCAACAAAAUCAAAAAAACUCUCAAAAAUAUACAGAGCGCUUUCGAACACUAACUGUAAUUACUUACCAAUCGCGAAGUGGGAGGCCGAACUCUCAAUCACCCCGAGCACUGAUUUCUGGGCAGAAAUUUGUUGUAAUACUUUUAAGAUGACAAAAAACACAAACCUUCAGCUAAUUCAAUACAAGGUCCUCCACAGAUCCCACAUUACCCAACAGAAAAUGCAUAAAAUGGGCUUCUCAGCAACAGACAUCUGCUCUCAGUGCACCCAGAAUACAGCGGAUUCCUAUUUACAUGCCUUAUGGCUUUGCUCCCCAGUUCAACACUUUUGGAUUCUAAUCACUGAAAAACUGUCCUCCAUUUUGGACUGCAGGAUUCCUUUAUCUCCAAAUCUUUGUUUGAUUGGAGACCUGACAAUGCUUCAACCUCCAGCAAACCAAUCACAAUCAAUCCUUGCGGCACUAGCCAUAGCAAAAAAAACAAUAUUACUAAAUUGGAAAGACAAAAAAUCCUUAAACAUAAACCAAUGGCAAAAUCUCCUCACAGAAUUUAUUUCCAUGGAAAAGAUGUCUGCUCUCAGAAAACAAAAAAAAAUAACGUGCUUUGAGGAGCGUUGGACUCCUUUUUUAAUUGCAUUAAAUCUAAAUUUUUAAAAGCCUGAUGAUCUAGCCUGCAAGCGACUGCCAGCACCACUCUUUACUAACGCACUAGCCCAACUGUAGGCCGGGGCCGCCUUGGGCCUCUGGGGUGGUCUUGGUCAGGAUGGCUGGGGUGGGUUGCCGGG